GACGAACGCUGGCGGCGUGCUUAACACAUGCAAGUCGAACGAAGUGGCGAACGGGUGAGUAACGCGUAAUCAACCUGCCCUGCAGAGGGGGACAACAGUUGGAGACGACUGCUAAUACCGCAUACUGUAGGAGGGGAUUGCGUCGGAUUAGCUAGUUGGCGGGGUAACGGCCCAACAAGGCGAUGAUCAGCAGCCGGUCUGAGAGGAUGAACGGCCACAACGGGGCUGAGGCACGGCCCAGACUCCUACGGGAGGCAGCAGUGGGGAAUCUUCCGAAAUGGACGGAAGGCUGACGGCGCAACGCCGCGUGAGAGAUGACGGCCUUCGGGUUGUAAAGCUCUGUUAAUCGGGACGCGGUACCGGAAUAGAAAGCCACGGCUAACUACGUGCCAGCAGCCGCGGUAAUAC
rnacentral:rRNA from 1 species